GGAGCCGCGGUGGGAAGGAGCGGCCGCCGGACCCCAGCCACAUGAUCAGAAGCGGAAAUACGCAGAGAGAGCGACGGUAGCCCCACGGCCGGAAAAGUUCGACUUGCGGACCUGGUUUUCUAGAAAACGGCUAAAGGCGAGAGCCCGACAUGUUAUGAAAGCUCUCCGUGGUACACACAGACCCACCGUGGGCUUUCAAGUGCUGGGAUUAAGACAUGAAUCACCACCACCGCUGGUACAACUGAUCAAUUUUUAAGAACAGGUAUAAAUGGACAGGUUUGGUGGCAUCCACCUACAAUCUCAGCACUGGGGACAAGCCAGCAAAAUCACAAGCUCGGGCACAAGGCCACACAGGAAGAGGUAAAAAUGAGCCUUUAUGAGAGUGUCAGUUUGGGAAACAUGCAAAUUUAUGUGCUUAUGCUCAAAAAUUUUUGAUAUAGCUCAUAUGUCUGUCUCUGUUCCUAUCUUAGUUCCUAGCACCCAUAUGGUGACUCAUAAUGGCCUGUAAUACAGUGCCAUGGGAUCUGGCACCAUCUACUGUCCUCCAUGAGCACUGGCAUGCACAAGCAAAAUACUAACACAUAAAAAUAACUCUUAAAAAAUAAACUGUAUAGUAAAGUGUGAUGGCUAGUUUGAUGUCAACUUGACACAGCUGGAGUCACUAGAGUAAAGGGAGUGUGACAAGAGAAAAAUGGCUUCAGAAGAUCCAGCUAUAAGGCAUUUUCUUAAUUAAUGAUUGAUGGAGGAGGGCCUAGCCCAUUAUGAGAGGGGCCAUCCCUGGACUAGUGGUCCUAAAUUCUAUAAGAAAGCAGGCUGAGCAAGCCAUGUGGAAUAAGCCAGCACCCCUCUAUGGCCUUUGCAUCUCCUCCUGCCUCCAGUUUCCUGCCCUGUUUGAGUUCCUAUCCUGACUUCCUUCAGUGAUGAACAGUGGAGAUAGAAGUGUAAGACACUUAAAGUGUAAGACAAAUAAACCAGUUCCUCCUCAAGCUGCUUUGGUCAUGAUGUUUCAACACAGCAACAGAACAUAGGUUUUUCUUCAGCAUCAGAGAUUUAUAGAACAAAAGUCUCAUCGUUGGCACUUACUAUGCUUUUCCAGGAGUCUUUGCUUCAUUGGCGCUGAUGAUGAAUAAAGGAAACAGGAUUGAAAAUAGGCAGCCACUGUUAAAAAAAAAAAAAAGUCAACUUCACAAGGCAUGACUUUAGGAAAGAUAUUAGGGUAUUAGAAGCCUCAGAUUUCUUUGCCUACUGGGCAAACACCAUGAUGUAAUGAAACCUUAAUAUAUCCUAUAAACACAGCUCAUGAAAUGAACAAAAAAAAUUCUGAAUUUCUAAGAAUCUGCCUCCAGGAGGCAACAUAGAAGAUAGUAGACUAUAUUUUAAUACUGAUAAAUAUAAGCUAUUAUUAAUAACAACUGCAAAAAAAAUUUCCUGAUGAUCAAAUGAUGCUACUACAGAAGCAAACUAAUAAAAGAUGAUUACUAAAACAUACUUGCUACCUCAGUUUUUAUUUUUCUAGUCUUUCGAAUUCUUUCUCUAGCCAAAUUACCUGAUGAUAUAGGAGGAUUGCAUUGCUGUGAGGAAAGCCAGGGGCAAGCCAAAUCCAAAGUAGUAAGGCCAAUUCCGUUCUAUGUUUGACAAUCGCUGGUGCAUUUCAAUUCCUAAAACAAGGGUUAGGGUUAGGGUUAGGGUCAGUACUCAUUUACAAUACUAACUGGAAGACACAAGGCUUGGGUUUUAGGCACAAAGCUACCAUUUGGAACACAAAUACAGCAUAUAAACUGUAUAAAUCUAUCAGAUUCAUGAUGCUGUACACUUCUGAUUUUAGCAUCCUGGAAGGCAUAGGCAACUUGGUCUACAUAAGGAGUUACUGACCAGCCAGGACUGGUAAGACCCUAUCUCAAAGAAUUGUACGAAUCUGAUACAAAGCUCCAAUGCAAAGAUUUUAUAAUAAUAAUAAUUUCAAAGUAACAUUAAUUUUAGCAUCAGCAUCCUUUGUCAGGAUGGUCUACAAAGCAAAAUAUCAAAAAGGAUGGCAUCUUGGGCAGUGGUGGCUCACGCCUUUAAUCUCAGCACUCAGGAGGCAGAGGCAGGAGGAUCUCUGAGUUUGAAGCCAGCCUGUUCUACAGAGUGAGUGAGCUCCAGUAGAGGCAGGACUACAUAGAGAAUCCCUGGAGAGAGAGAGAGAGAGAGAGAGAGAGAGAGAGAGAGAGAGAGAGAGAGAAAGAAGGAAGAAAGAAAGAAAGAAAGAAAGAAAGAAAGAAAGAAAGAAAGAAAGAAAAAAGAAAAAGGGUGGCAUCUCUAUUGAAAGCAGUUACCUACUUUCGGCCACACUCACCAAGAUUACUAUGCAAAAUGUUUGUUGUUUGUUUGGGUUUAGUAUAUAUAUAUAUAUAUAUAUAUAUAGAGAGAGAGAGAGAGAGAGAGAGAGAAAGAGAGAGAGAGAGCACCAGGUAGUUUGAAACUCAAGACCCUCCUUUCUCUACUUCAAAAUGAGUGCAAGAAUUAUAAGUGCUGUAGCUAGAGAGAUGGUUCAGUGGUUAAGAGCACUGACUGCUCUCCCAGAGGAUGUGGGUUCAAUGCCCAGCUCACACACAUGGAAGCUCACAACUAUCUGCAACUCCAAAAUCUGAUAUCCUCACAUAGACACACAUACAGACAAAAAAACCAAUGCACAUAAAAUACAAUUAAAAAAAAUUUUAAAAAGGGGGGCGGCUGGAGAAAUGGCUCAAUGGUUAAGAGCCAUGGUUAAGUCUGCUCUUCCAGAGGUCUUGAGUUCAAUUCCCAGCAACCACAAGAUAGCUCACAGGCCAUCUAUAAUGGGAUCUGAUGCCCUCUUCUGGCAUGUGGUAUACAUGCAGAUAGAGCACUCAUAUACAUAAAAUAAAUAAAUCUUUUUAAAAAAAGAAAAAGAAAAGAGGGCUGGAGAGAUGGCUUAGAGCUUUAGAGCACUGACUGCUCUUCUAAAGGUCCUGAGUUCAAUUUCCAGCAACCACAUGGUGGCUUAUAACCAUCUAUAAUGAGAUUUGGUGGUCUCUUCUGGCAUGCAGGUGUACAUGCAGACAGAACAUAUACAUAAUAAAUCUUUAAAAAAAAGAGAGAGAGAAUUUAUUUUGCCCUAAGACAGUGUUCCUCUGUGUAGCCUUGGCUGUCCUGGACUCACUUUGUAGAUCAGGCUGGCCUUCAGCUCAGAGAUCUGCCUGCCUCUUUUAAGAAAGAAAGAAAGGAAAGAAAGAAAAAAAAGGAAAGGAGGAAGGGAGAAAGGAAAGAGGAAGGGGAAAGGAAAAGGGGAAAGGAAGGGGAAGGGAAAAGGAAAGGGAGGAGGGGGAAAGGGAAGAAGGAGGAGAGGGGGAGGGGAGGGAGAGGGGGAGGGGAGAAGGGGGAAAGGGAAAGGAAAAGAAAAAGAAAAAGGAAGAAAAAAAAAAAAAAAGAAAACAUUACAUGUGCCGGACUCCACCCAGAGCAUAAAAGUCUUUCUACAAAAUUCCCAGCUGGUAUGAUGGCAUACACCUGUAGUCCCAGCAUUCAAAAAACAAAAGUACUGAAGUUUGAAACAUUAAAAAAAAAAAAAAAUCAGGCCACCAAAGCUACACAGCAAGACCCCAGCUGAAAAGAAAAAAAAAAAAAAAAAAAAAAAGGUGAUCCAAACCAAAGUCAACACUCUGGAAGUAGAUGAAGGCAGAUCAGAUCAGAAGUUCAAGGUCACCCUCAGCUGCAUAGCAAGUUCAUUAGCUACAUGAGAUCUUGACUCAAAAGUUUAAAAAAGUGGUUUAAAAGAAAAUAACUAAAAUUUAAGAAUAAAUAAAUCCCACAGUAAUCAAAUGAGCUGGGCUUGAUAGUACACAUAUGUAAUCCCAGCACUUGGGAGGUAGAAGCAAGAAGCUGGAAAGAAAGCUGAAGGCCAGCCUGAUCUACAAAGUGAGUCCAGGACAGCCAACUCUAAGGGUGAGCAGUCAAGGCUAGCCUGGGUUACACAAAAAGGCCAUGUCUUAAAUUAAAUUUAUUAUUAUUCUAAAUACACUGGCAUCUACUUAACAUCUCUAAAACAACUUGUGCUCUUGUUGCCAACUUCUGGCCCAGACAGAACUACAUCGCAUUAAACACUAAAAUGGUAAUUCUACAAUGCUAAACCCCUGGCCCCAAAGACUGAUGAACCUACUAGGCCAAAUGUAAUCUCUCUUCUUGACAUAACUCUCUCUCUCUCUCUCAAAGCCAACGUCCUUUCAGAAACUUGCUAAGAGCGUAAGUAUUAAAAAGCUUAGUGUGGGGGCACCAACACUUCCGAACGGAGCUUCUCUUUUCUGUGUCUCCUUAUAUGGACUUACCUUUAUUGAACCAACGGUACUCAAAGCAGUACAGUGAGUAGAGAAGAGACAUAUGCAGCAGACUAACCAGCUGACCCACAAGAUGGAUUGGGAAGAGACUCACAAACAUCCCCUGAGGAACAAAUGGAGCACACCUUAAUUCCAGGAUGUCAGAUACUUCGCACCCACCACUUCAAUCAGAGAUGGCCUCCUAGCCCCUUCAAAUGUUGUUUAAUAGUAGGAUCAGAAUCUCCAAGGAAGAAGAGCAUUCUGCCUACAAACCAGAAGAGGGCACCAUAUCUCACCAUUGAUGGUUAUGAGCUACCAUGUGGUUGCUGGGAAUUGAGCUCAGGACCUUUGGAAGAACAGCCAGUGUUUUUAACCUCUGAGCCAUCUCUCCAGCCCCAGUAUUCAUUCUUGUACAAUCCAAAUUUCAGUAAAAACUAUGAUAGUUCUCAAUUAUAGGUAACAUUUUUUGUUUUGUUUUGAUCUAGGUUUCAAUAACAACCAAUAGUUACAACCAGAAACAAGGAGAAUCUUGCUAUCUGGCCUUAUCUACUUCUCUGAUCCCACAGAUCUCCUAGCCAAAAAAUGUUCAGUGUUAACACAAAUUAUUUAUCACAAUACUAAAACCUGUCAAUGGAUCAUAUAAACAUACAUUCAGGACUUUUCCAAGGCAUCUGUUUAUGCAUAACUGAAUAGAAACAAAAAUCACUACAGAUAGCCUGAUAGUGGUAGUGCCUUUAAUCCCAGCAUUUGGGAGGCAGAGGCCAGCCUGGUCUACAGAGUCCCAGG